GCGGUGACGGCCUCCCUUAAGGGCUGUGCGCCUGCGCGGGAUUGCGACUGCGCCCUGACUGAGGGGAAAUGGUCUGCAGGGCGCAUGCGCAGGAGGUUUGAGUGUACGCUGGUGUGAGGCAGGCGAGGGGCUGUGGGAUCUUUGGGCUUUCUGUGUGGAAGGAAUGAGUGGGCUGGUGUCCGGGAGCUUCCAGUCCCAAACUUGAGGUGGCUUGGGGUCCGUGUGGGCGCUGGCUGUAGGACCCCAGUGUAAGUGGUGACUGUGGGGCCUGUGAGCUUCCUGAAGAAGCUAGCAAGUGGCAGAGAUCCAGGCAAACGUGGGAAUACUUUCUUAAGUUUGGCUGUAGAAACAGAGGAGUCAAUGAUGUUAUGGAUACAUCACAGCGUGGAUACAGCAUGUAGCCUGAGUCAGGAGAGCAGCGUGUUUUCUAAGAUGUAAAGUCACUCACUCUAAAUGGUGUAGAAAGUGUGCUGUGCUUGUAAUGUUUUCAGGCUUAAAUUGUCUAGAAAUGAGUAUUUUCCAACAAUCAGAAAUUAAACUCAGUAUAUCUGCUGGCUUUGUAACUUAUCUGCUUGUUCUUUGAUUGGCUUGUGACUCCCUUCUUCAUAUGUUCUGCUAAUCUUUUAUUACUACGUUAACAUGCAUUAUAUCCAAGCAUUGAACAAGCUUGCCAGAAGUACUUACUUUAGUGUUCAUUUGUUUUGUUUACCUGAUUGUGGGCUUUUUAGAUUCAUUCAUUAUAACUUUGACAUGGAGUCAGAAAGGACUUGUGGUGGUGGUAGAGAUGAUGUUGUACAGUUAGUUGCUAUGACAAAUGUAGUUUUUCUUUACUAAGACUUUGGUCCUGAAUAUGUUUCUGAUGCGUGUGGCCUACGCUGCUGUCAGAUACUUGGGGUAUGUAAAGACAUCUACCAGCUGUACUGUACACUGAAGUGUGAAGCUGGUAUCUUUUAUCAGGUCAUGCUGAAUCUGUAGUAAACGGCUAAAGCAGUGAUGAAGUAAAGAUCUAAUACUUCAACAAUGGUGUUGAGUAAGUGCUGUGAUUGAAGGGAAAGGUCUUGGAGAACAGGAGAGGUGCCUGAAGACUGGAAGAUAGCCAGUGUCACUCCAGUGUUCAAAAAGGGCAAGAAGCAGGAUCUGGGAAACUACCAGGCCAGUCAGCCUCACUUCUGACUCUGAAAAGGUGAUGGAAAAGCUUUUUCUGGAUGCCAUCUCCAAGCAAUUGGUAGAAAAGAAGGCUAUCAGGAGUAGUCAGCAUGGAUUCACCGAGGGAAACUCAUGCUUGACAAGAGUCAUAGCCUUCUGUGAUGGCAUUACCGGCUGGAUGCUUUGUUAAGUAAAGUCUGAAAUGUUUCAAGGGAUGCCAUUUCCAGCACCUUCUUCUGAAGACUCCUGAUAAUCAAAUAGGAACAUCAGAUAUAUGUGGGUUUGAACUCAAAGCAAAGAUAGAGUCCAAACCUUAGCAUGACAGAAAGCGGGCUUUGUAUCAUAUUUGAAAACUCUUCACCAGUCUUCGUACUCUCUUGGACCGUAAAUUAGAUGCGAACUUACCUGGUGAAAAUGUCAUGGAGAUGAGAGAGAAGAGAUGCAGAAAAGCAGAGAGUUUCCAUCCUCCUGCCGACCCAGUGGAAGACAAUGCUGUAACAGCAGGCGUCUGAUAAAACAGUGAAGUUGUGACUAGAGUCGGCCUUGAACUGGUGCUUCAGUUCAGAAUGCCAGCACACGUGAAGAAUGCUCUCAUUCUGACCAUCUGUUGUCCCAGGUAAAUUGAGAGAUGGUAGCACACAACAGUGUAUUGUUAUAAAGAAAGUUUGUACUGCCUUAGUAUUAGAAGUUGAAGGGCUUAUAGAAUAUUUUCUGACCCUGAAAAUGUUAACUUUUCCUUUCUUUCUUUGGGGGAUGUUUUUUUUCCCCAGGUAUCUGAAGAAAAAGUGAUGAUUACAAUAAGAGAAAUUGCAAGAGAUUUUCCAGAUCUAGGGUCAGUGGUGACAUCCCCAUAAAUCAUGAGUAACCCUAACACAGACAGUCUUAAAGAGGCUUAGUUGUCAUAAACAUAUAUACUUAGGUAGAACUGUUCCCGUCAUAUUUAUCUUUCAUUCCAUAGCUUAUAGAAACCAAAUUUCUGUCAUCGACAAUUAUUAAUCAUGCAUUUACCCUGCUGAGACAUCUAAUAAAGCAUCAAGUACAGAGUCUGAACAUGAGUGAGAGAAAAGGAGAGAAAACAGAGAAAACAUAAUCCAAAUUUUUUAAAGUGAGGGGAAGAAAAAUCUCACAGAACAUCUGUUCACCACAUGUUCAUAAAUUACAGUGGGAUUUUGAACUUUUCUUCUCUCGUCUACAUGUCACGCAGAUUUAAUAGUUCAUAAUUUUACAAAAAACAACAUAAUUAUGCACCAUGCUCAAAAGAACAUGUGAUCAGCUCUCCAGCAGCACUGCUGCAAGCUGCUCUCUGUUGAUGCCAAGCUUGCAGCAGUUCAGCAUGUUGUACUUUCUCAGCCCUUGCAUGGGAGGCUCAUUAUUCAUGGCAAGACUGAAGAAAACACCACUGAAAUUCAACUCAUGAGCCUGGGCCUGAAUACGAUAACCUUUGACUCUCCAGGGAAAUUAACAUUUUGUGCUUAGACCACAAAAAAUAUUGGAAUGUAAGAUCUUACUGAGAAAUACUAUUUCUCAUUGAGAAUGCACCUUUCCCCCAUCAGUGCGUUAUAGAACAGGUUUUUAUUUAGCUUAAAUGGAAAAGAAUGAACAAAGCAAGUAUUACAUAGAAGGCGUAUUUUGCAAAUUUUUUAUUUAUGGCUGAACUACAGAUCAGAAUCUAAAAAUAUGUGCUUCCAUCUACUUGACUGAGACAAGUCACUGGUGUACAUAUGAGUACACACAGUCAAGUUUCCUCUUGCCAUUUACUUCCCAUGAAACUGAUCCAUCUGUGCAUAAAAUCUAUGUACAGAUUCCAGGUCUUGGGCUGACUCUGCAUCCAAGGGAAACCCUUGCAAAUAUUUGUUCUGAGAUGUGAAAGAGAAGAGGGAAUUUAGAUGCAGAAUUAGGAAUAGAAGGAGAAAGACAAGUAUCAUGAAAGGAAAUUGUGCUUUUGUAUUUACUUCAUUGUCUCAUUUUUAAAAUUAUCCUCUUCCCUACCAAAUAGCAACAUCUUAAAGAAAAAGAACUUAUAAACGUACAAGGAUUUUUCCUUUAUAACAUACACACAAACAAAAAACAUGGAUUCCAGCAUGCAAGAAGCAAAAGCAAAAUAUUCAGGAAGCACACUUGCAAUAAACAAAUUGGAGAUUAAAACCAUCCCAUGUCAACAUUCAGAUUCGUUAAGACCUCAAACAUAUAAGCUUUAAUGUAGUUGUAAUAUACAGAUUUAGAGUACUCUUCAAGAAAAAUAUGACUCAGGAGCAGUUGCCAGCAUGAGAAGUUUCUGUUUCUUCUUUUCCUGCUGAUGAUAAUUAUGAUUUAGGGCUCCAUAUUAAACAAGGAAGGGGCUGCAAACACAGUUUGAAAUGUUUCAUAUUGGUGUUUUAAUGAAGAUCCCAUAGAUGCCAUCUUCUUCUACCUAAGUUAAUGGAUUGAUUUAGGUAGAGGUUCUGUAAAAUGUAGUAGAAAAUCUUGUUGCAGUUAGAAAAUCCUAGCAAGAGAUUGAUUUCUAUGUAAUAAAAUUACUUCAUUAAAUGAAAUCCUCAUAUUUCUUCUGAACUCUUGAGACAGCUACCAAAUUUUAUAAAAGGCCAUUAAAUGUAGUGCACAGCUGGCAUUGGCCUGCUGGCAGGAAAAAUGACUUUCCCCAUCUGAGUUCUCUGAGAGAGGUCCAAAGCUGCCACAGAACUGAACAAAGCUCUGUGCACCACAAACUGCUAAGGGAAACAAAACACUGCACAGGAGCAGGGGGCACUGACCAAUAGACUGAGUCCCCCAAAGCAGGUAAAAAUGAGAAUAAAACGUUUGAACAAACUUGUUCAGAAUUGCCUUUGUCUGCAGCUUCACAGUUAUUUCAAGCACACGUUCUUUAUUUUUGCACAGGAAUUGAGAAAAAUUAUGAAGUUGGUAUGCCUAACCAGCCCAAAUUCCAAGUUUACAGAUCAUUAUAACUGCGGAAACUGCUGGUCCAUCCUUUUAUUUUUCAGAGGUAGAGAAGGUGGAGUUUUUUGAGUAUCAAUGAGGUGAGAUUGUGGCAAGUCUUUCUGCUUCCAUCAUCAUGAUUUUUUUUCACCAUUCCCUUUGCCUCUGUUGUUGUCAGGUGCGCUACAGUCCUCUUGUCUUGCAGACUGACUGUCUCCUUGCACUCAGAAAACUCAAUUCAAGUAGAUAUCUUGUGAGUCUGCAAAGAUAAAUCAAUUCCAGUGUUUUUCAUCCUGGGAAAAAGGAAAGUAGAAAUCAGUUACAUAGUAAGCAUGGAGAAGUUCUGACUCAUACCUAAUUUGAUCUAAUCUAAAGUUUAUUAAGCUCAGAAGAAUUUGACUGGUUUCCUUUUAGCUUUAUUUCAGAACAAUUGUUUGUGGUGCAUGCUGCAUCCCUGGGCACUUCAUCUCUUUUCAUCUUUCAUCCAUUUUUAUUUAAGCCUCUGUUUCUCAGUAUGGGGUGAUGUGUUGAUAAAAUAAACUACUUAUCUUUGUUGAAAUUACUCUUUUUGGUAUGAAAUGUUGGGUAUGGUAUGGUAUGAAAUUGCGCAUUACCCAGGGGGAAAGAGUCCAAGAACUUUGCAAGAUUUUAAUUAAAACUGAAUCAUGGCAUGAAUGAACAGCUAGAAAACAGUCUGAGAAAUUCAGUACUAUCCAGUUUUCGUGUUAGUUCCUUCAGUUAUUUAAUUCCAGAGAAUACCUGGAGUAGUCAAACAGGAGAUUGAUAGCAAACUUCUUGUGAAGAAACUGUUCGCUAGGUAAUGUCCAUGCCCCCAUGAGUGCAGUUGCAAAGGAAGCUCAGAGAAUAUGCAAGCUCCUGGUACAAAUAAAUUCUUUUCUCAGGGAGGAAAAAUACAGAAGAUCUAUGGGACAGGAGCCAUUUGUUCAGGGAAUUGAUUUCAAAGAAGAGUACCAAAGCUCAAUGAUGCAAGCUCGUUGGAGACAGAACAGGGUAGAGAGAUAUUUGCCUUCCUGGGUUUAGCUUUGCUUCAGCUUUACCUGCAUAUGUGAGAAGUUGUUCAUUGUUUGCUUGAUUUUUGCAUUCAGAGGCUGACCAUACACCAGAUGGUUCCUGUGGCUGCAGCACAACGUAGCCCUCCUGACAGCGGACAGAAGUAUAUGACCAGAGGAGAUUAUAUGUAUUGGAAAAACCACUGAACUGAAGUUUACGAGUUGUUGGUUGUGAGCUGUGACAAUGCAUCGUGCAUUAAUAAUGCAUCUUAAUGUACAUAUGAGGGGAAAUCUUGAAGAAAACCUGCACGAAGCGUGUAUUCACUACAGUGCUGUGAGUAGCUGGUAGAACAGAGUUGAGAAUGUAAUUUAGCUAGUGAACAGAAAACAGAUAGAAGAAAAAGCAAGAAAAGGCUGCACCUAAUGUUUAGAGUAAGACUUCUUUUCUCAUUGAAAUGUGAAGGUGGAUUCCCAAAUCUUUGUUCCAGAUUUUGGCUCUAUGACAAGUAAGUAUAAAGAGAAGAAAGAUGAAUGUGACUAUAAUACACAGGCAAAGCUGUGCAUAUCUGAUGCGUAAAAAGAAUUUGGAAUUUUGAGGUCUGCUAAAUCAGUUGAGUCUUACUGCAAUGUUUUUCUGGUUCAUUUGGCCAGAGAGCAUGUAUUAAAUCUAUAUGACCGUGCACAUAGGCAAAUAUUGAUUUUAUUAGUAAAGAAAUUGGGAAAAAUAUGUGAUGUCCUAGUAUCUGGUUAUCCAGUUCUAAUACACAUUCCUUCUUUACUCAGACUUCUACAUGAAUGAAGGUCCCAGUUAAUUCAUGAAGCCCUUCUGCCCACUCUAUAAAGGUUAAGUCCAUUCAGCAAAAAUUGAAAAUGAGAGUUGAAUACUGUGAACAAUUAAAUUCUGCAUUUGAAAUAAUAAAUGCAUAGUCUCAUGCA